ensembl:lncRNA
CAACAGGACGAAGAAACAGCCCAAAUCUAUUAUGAAACGAUGGUUUCAUUUGGUCAGUCUACCGGAUAUCAGGUUUUUGGGAGGGGUUUCUUACUAUUUUUUUGUGGUGUUCUGCGAUGGUUCUUUAAUUUAAUCGACACAAUAUAUAAAAGCAUACAUUUUGGAGAAAAGCACAAAAUACAUGCCAGUAUUGGAUUGGUUAGUUAGCUGUUGGCCUGAGAGGAAGUGAAAAAUAGCUUUAAUUAGAUUUCUAACAUGUGUACAUGUCUCAUGGAAGGCCCAUUCCUCACAUCAGUUAUUCAUGCUAUAUAUAUAUAUAUAUAUAAUUUCUGCGAGUCAUAUGUUUGUAUGCUAUGUAAAAAGGCUUAAGGCUUUUAAAACCUGUAAUUAUUAUUAUUAAAUGACCUGACAGAGAAAUAAUCAAUGUAUUGCAAUAAAUUAUUCUACCUAACAGUGCUGCAGAAGAGUAUUACUUAGUUUCUUUAAGUGAAUAAAAACGUUUUCCUUUGAAGAGAUGAGGAACUCACUCUCACUCUCUCGCAAUCAAACUUAUGACGGAGCGUUCAGGUCAGAACAAGAACAGAAGGACACAUGGGAGAAACGGGUACGGGCAAGAGCUGAAGCUAAAGAAGAGAUACCUACUGUAUCCUUCUGUCAAGCCGUCACUCGGCCAUCACCCCCGCAGUUACAGCAGCGUGAGGUGAUAGGCGUCGCGGUUGAGGUGCGACUGACUGUAAAAGUUGAAGGCGUUGAGCUUGUGUCACCACGCCACACACUGACGGGGCCAGUGCUGAUUAUCCUCUGUACGUCGUGAAUGGGGAGA